rnacentral:rRNA from 1 species
CUAUGCGCCUUGCCAGCCCGCUCAGGUGUGCCAGCCGCCGCGGUAAUACGGAGGAUGCGAGCGUUAUCCGGAUUUAUGGUUUAAAGGGUGCGUAGGCGGGAUGCCAAGUCAGCGGUAAAAAUGCGGUGCUCAACGCCGUCGAGCCGUUGAAACUGGCGUUCUUGAGUGGGCGAGAAGUAUGCGGAAUGCGUGGUGUAGCGGUGAAAUGCAUAGAUAUCACGCAGAACUCCGAUUGCGAAGGCAGCAUACCGGCGCCCUACUGACGCUGAGCACGAAAGCGUGGUAUCGAACAGG